rnacentral:lncRNA from 1 species
AAAUUGAUGAAUUAUAACAGAUCUAGGUAGAAUUUAUCCACCCCCAUCCCUACCCCCUUUUUGGGUAGAUAACAGAAAUGUGCAAUUCACUGUACUAUGGAGACUGGAAGGUCUACUACAUUUAUUGCUGUGCCAGUUCUCCUUAUAAGUUGUUGUUGCUGCUUUUGUUUUAUUUAUUCUGUCUAUGGGUGUGUUUGUUUUCUGUUUGUUUUUCUGUCUUUCUAGGUAGCCUUAGCUGGCCUGAUACUUGCUAUGUAAUCCAAAUUGGCUUUGAACUCCUAGCAAUCCUCCUGAGUUAACUCUCCGUGUGCUGGGAUUACAGGCUCUGACAAAAUGCCUGGGAGAAACAACUUAAGAGAAAAGGGUCUAUUUUGGCUCAUGUCAAAGGAUCCCAACUACGAUGGUGAGGCAGAUAUUGUGGUAGAAGUGGCUGAGUUAAGUUCUUAGUCUGUGUUGAUGUGAGUACCAAGCAGAUGGUCACUUCAUGAGGAGAAAACAGGGAGCUAGACUGGAUCCAGCGGUAUGUAUGGGAAGCUGCUUCUGUUUGCAAGGCCACAUAUUCCUAGUUCACAGCCUCAUACAACAGUGCCACAAGCUGGUGAGUUUUCAAAUACGUGCACUCCCAGGAACAUAAUAUAUGGAAAUAAUCUUGCAUCUCCUCACUGGUAAUCUUUGUCCGGGUGAACUGGAAGGGUCCUUAGAGUAGGAGUGAGCUGGAUUGCUAAACAGAGUUCCAUUAUUCUCCUAUCAGAUCAAUAAAUUUUCACUUGUUCUGAGGUACUAUUUAUGGAUUAGUAAAAUACCCACAAUAACAUCUACAGACAGAAAGGUAUAGGCCUCUAGUUCCCAUUCUUGACCUGAAUCCCUUUUCUAGUUGGGAAUUUCUUGCUUCUCUUUUUAUUUUUUUUUCACCUGAUCAAGUUACAAGAAUUAGAUGAUAUAUAUAGAUACACAUACAUACAUACAUAUAUAUAUUAGAUAUAAUUCGCCUAUAUUUCAGCUAGAAGAUAACUUUUGGAGAAAAACAAUUUUUUUUCUGCUUAGUUGUGAGAAAAUGCCAGCAACAUAAAUUUCAGACCUCACAAAUAAGAACCAAUUUUUCUUUCAAUAGAAAUGAGCGGAGUGUUCGAGUAGAGAAUUGUCACUAUCAAUACUUGCCCAAAAGACUGAAUGGUCAUUAUCUAUUCCCAAGUUGUGAUAGAUAUGAAACAAGCAAUACCAUAAUGUUUUGCUUUCCUCCCUCUCACAGGGAAGGAGCAAGGGGCUUUGAGGGAGCCUUCUGAGAGGAGGAAGACCAUACUUAAUGCUAAUAACACGGGGAAGACGGAGACUGGGGAUUGCAGUACAGAGUUUUGAGUUUCCAAAAAAUUUUUGAUAAUGAUCCUGUUCUAGGGAUUUGAUGAGCGACAAACAUAAAAAUUUUAAAGUGAUCCAGAAACCUUUAAAACGAGAUCUAUCAUAUGACAAAUGCUCAUAAAUAGCAUGAGGAUUAGAUAAAAGAGGUUACUGACUUCCUCAAGGUGCCCAGAAAAUAACUGACAGCAUCCCAAGAACACAGUCCUUACUGUCCAGUACAAGCUCCUCUUCACUGUCCCAAGCCACACAUGUACUCUGAGCACACGUGUUAAUGAGACUCGUAUUGUGUAGUAAUUCUACUCUGAAGUUUGUUGCUUUGGCCUAUGGAUAGAUUGAGAACCUUCGAAGCAAUUAGCACCAAUGAUUGUUAGAAUGAGAGGAGCAAGGUUAGUGAUCUGCUCUAAAGAAGCAAGUGGCACCAUGCUGUGUGAGCUGACCAUUAGUCAGCAUCACUUUAACCCAGGAAAGCCUGCUGCUGAAGUGGCCUAAGGUGAUGAAUCACAAGGAGCAUCUUGCUCUUGACUUGGCUGCCAUUAAAGUGAUGCCAAGCACCACAUAACCAACUGAAAGGCGUCAAGGGGUUGGCAAGCCACUUGCACAACAGAGUUUGAUGUUAAGCAUCUGGGAGUUUCCAGCAUAUGAAGGAUACAUGGGGGUUCCGAAAUUACCUACAUCACUGAGCACUGUACAGCUGUCACUUAAUAUUUAAACUGGAUGAGAAAUCACAAAAACUCUGGUUUCUCAAAAGCAGAACUACAAGCUGUCAAAGUUGUUGGGUCCUUGGAGGCUAUCCCAACUUAAUUACUUAUUUCACAAAUGGAGAAACGUGCCAUUAUUCAUGUGGGCAGAAGAAAGAAUACGGAGCUAGAAUCCUUCCUGGGUAUCUUGUUUUAGGGGAUUAUAGACAUAGACUCUUAAGGAACACCAUCUGUGCAAGAGGCACAGCGCACUGACUAAAUGCAUGCUGAGAGUCUCCUGGUUAAAUCCACCCUCUUCCUGUUUCACUUCACAUGCAGAUGCUGGAAAGGGUAGGGACCUAAUGAGAGGCAGCAGUCAGCCCCUCCCAGCUGUUCUUGCUCUAACCACAUCCUGGUCAGGUGCCAUUAUUCCCUGGCUCCCCUGACUUAUUCUUCACACUGUCCUCACUGAUGAUGGCUUUCCUAAAGCACUGUUGCCCUUCCAAAAACACUCCAACAAGGCAAUUUAUAGCUGACCUAUGUUUUUCUAAUAAUGUUUUCUCUCCUCUCUUCAUCCUGGAAAUCCACGUGUCUCAGUUGCUCUCAAUCACUGCCACGAGUCUGGUGAUGCGCUAAGCUCGGGGCAGGAUCUCAAGGGCUUUGAGGAUGUCUGCAUCAUCUGUAUUGACCUGCUCCCCAGAUUAAUACCGAAGCACUGCAAUUUCUUGAGGAUUAUCCACCUAGGAGGAAAUGAUACGCUGGCCCAUCCAUAGUAGUCAAGGUUUCUUGGAAGAGAAGAAUGAGAUUGGAUCUGAGAAAAUGUGGCUGGUAAUGAACUCUACGAAGGGAUUUUUAUACUCUCUCUUUGGCAGUCCAUCCUGUGAAAUAAUAAUGAGGUUGGAGGAUGGCUGCUAACCAUCCCUUGCUUUUCCGUGCCAGGGAACCACCAUCUCAGAUGGUAGAAACCACUCAGAAGGAUCAACUGCUGCAGACGGGAAGAGGAGCAACCUCGUGAAUAAUUUCGUGACAGGAUAUUGCAGGAGGGACUUUGUCCAAAUGUGUGCAGGGUAGUUGGCUACAGCAACAAGGAUGACGAACACAGAUGAAUUGAUCAGGAUGUAACCAUUCAAAGUUGAGAGGAUUAGAGGACUUCUCCGAGGCGGCUCCAAUGGAUGCCAGCAGAGUUAAAGUGUCCAAUGGAGAGAAGAGAAGGCUUGGGAAAUCCAGAGUCCAUUCAUUCAUCGCCCUCCUCCUAGAACAACAAAAGCGAGCCCCAGUACUCAUCAGCAUGGACUCUGUGUGUAGUCAUCUCCCUUAGUUUCAGAGGUUCCUGCCUACAGCAAAACUUUAGAGGCUUAGAGUUUAACGGUCAUAGCUUAUUCACCUCCAACUGUGUCCUAGUUCAAGAGAAACACUUCACAUAUCUGUAGGGAGAAGAUAAUGAACCAAGGAUACAAGUUAAGCCUUAGCUAAGACCUGUUACUCAGGAAAAAGAGCUAAAACAAGCUGCUUAGAUCAGCACCAAUGUUAGGUAGAGAGAAAAAGAAACGCUGCAUAGAAAUCUUAAGGUUCACAUGUGCUCCAGGCUGGGUCAACAACUUCUAAUUUCCUUUGCCAACCAACCAUGUCUUUGACAGAAAUGAUCCUUCUACAUAGACCACAGAGGGAUCCAAUGGAGGUUUCUCUUCCUGAAUUUGGGGAUUCAGAAUCUGGACAAAUUCCUUUCCAUCAAAGUCCAGUACAAAAGUAGUACCAUGGCAGUCCCUGCAGGGACUUGCAUCACUUUCCCUAGAGAUAUCAAGAGAAUUUUUAGUGAUAAGAAUAUGGCACAAAAUGAGAAAUCCCAUUACUCUUAAGAGAAUCUCUUCCUUCUCAAAGGCACCUGAUUAAUACAUAUAGUACUAUCAGUAAGGCUGAGCAAAAGGAUACUGAUGUUCUGAGUGAUCUUAAAUCAUGUAAUAAUAACUUUAUUCGUAGUAUAGAACGGAAUAUUCCCUAUUAGUAAUCAGUUCCUUUGCCAGAUCCUCAUAGUAUCUUAGUCACUGUUUUAUUGUUAUGAAGAGAAACUUUGACCACAGCACCUCUUAGAAAAAAGGAAGCAUUUAAUCGGGACUUCCUUAUGGUUUCACAGUUUUACAUAAUUGUCAACAUGGCAGAGAACAUGGGGGCACGCAAACAGACAUGGUGCUGGAGAAGUAGCGGAGAAUAUACAGCAACAUAUAGAUACAAAAUAUAGAUACAUAUAGAUACAGAAUAUAGAUACAUAUAGCUACAUAUAGAUCUGCAGGCAGCAGGAAGAGACUGGGACAAGGCCAUACCUUCUAAGGCUUCUCAAGGAGUGUCACUUCCUGAUGACCAAGCAUUCAAGUGUAUGAGCUUAUGGGAGCCAUUCUUAUUCAAGCCACCACACAUAGCAAAGCUGAUAAUGUCAUUUUCUGAAUUAACCAGGCCAAGGCACACUUCUUAGCAACAUGGUUACCUGGUAACCAGAGAUUUUUCUCAUCCCAUGAGAGAUUUCAUUCAAGAACUGAUCUUCUAACAGUUUUGUCUCUCUUAAGAAUGCUACAGACAGGGUGGGGUGAGGCACAGUGCUGAAGCCCCUCAAGUUUCCCAGAGGGAUGAGUCCAUGAAAGACGAAAAUCAUGUGGUCACACUGAGCAUAGACUUCACAAGCAUCAUGCUAGGAUUCCAUUUUCUUUCUCAACACAAUGAUAAAUUCUUCUUCCAAUAAGCAGAAAAUCAUCCAAUGGGAAAAAAAAAUAAAACCAACUAACUUGCAGUCCUUUGGAACAGUUUCAUAGCUUACAGGAUGGCUUCAUAACCCUGGGGACACUCGUUUUGACAUGAAAACUUCCUUCAGAACAGGAAUUCUGAUCCAACAUGUGCUCAGACAUCAUUUCAGUCACUUGCAAAUGAACAAGAAAGCUCAUGUAAAUGAGGAGGCUCAACUCCCAGGCCUGGUGAGUGGGUAAGACAUUCCUCUGCUGGGUUUUGAAGGCUGUCUGAAACCAUCGGCUGACAUCCUUCUCUGUGUGCAUGUAUGCACUAUCUACGGGAAAUUCAGCUCCAACCGGUUGUCUCUACAGCUCCCUUAAUCUUCUCCUCCCUCCUCCUGGCAUUGGCAUGUGUCCCAGGACUGCAGCGAGGAGUGCUUACCAACAAAGGUGCUGGCAUCUGCAUUUGUUUCACAGCCACAAACCUAAUGGUUCCAUGAUUUUGGCGAGCAAAACUGUCAAAAUGCCUGAGCACAAGAGAUCACAAGAUGAGCCAAGGCAUAGUGUGCAUGCCUUCCUUCCCAGCACUCGGAAGGCAGAGGCAAGGGGAUCUCUGUGGGUUCAAGGCCAGCCUGAAUCACAAGGUGUACUGGGGAUUCUUUUUUAUUGUUUUCCUUUUGCUAUCUGGAAUAGUUUGAGAUUGUAUUUGAUCAGUGCAUUAAACAAC